GGGCACUAGGUGCAGUUGAUUUCAGGGAGUCCAUGGCCGUUGUCUAGCAAGGCUCUGGUUGUUUAGAACAAGAGUAGCGAAUAGCCGAGUGAAUAUACAGGUUAUGCAGCUGAAACAAUCGAAACACCAGGACAAAUCAACAAUGAUGGCUCAUUGAUGCGCUAGAUUGCUUGUUCACCUAUGGUUGCUGCUGUUGCUCAUCAUGAACUCAUCAGACAGGCCUGAGCAAGCAGAGACACUGGGCAAUACAAGUGCUACUGCCUUGGAGCAGUCUACCACCUCCAGACAAGAUGACUGUGGAGACACUCCAGGCAGCAACAAGAGGACACUCC